UUUGUCCUAUAUUGACUCUGGAAGGUGUAUUUGUUUCCUGGUAUGUUUUUUGGCCAUUCUUACUUAUGAGUUAGUUUUUCGAAUUAAAUUAAAUUUAAUUAUGUAUAUCUUUUAUUACGAUGUCAGAGCAAAAUCAUACCAAUUCUUGAUUUAUCUGAAAAAGAGGAAUAUUCAACAUUCAUUAAGUUUCUUUAAUUUGGAAGAAGUGAUGUCUUUUGUAUGUAUUUGAUUAGACACAAAGGGUAACCUCUACCUAUCUCUAACCUCUUCGCCGACAGUAAGAAGGUCCCCCACCGUCAUCUUCAGUUCCCACGGCCGCCUCAAUCUUCCACUCCAAUUAAUCUUAUUUUCACUUAUAAUAAGCCACUGUGAGAAUGAUUAGAUGAUUAAAGCUGAUUUCAUCACUUUGUCCCCAAAGCCUCCCCCAGGAAAUGAAGGC
rnacentral:lncRNA from 1 species